rnacentral:lncRNA from 1 species
GUUACAGGCAGGGUGGGUCCGUUUGGGCAGCCCGUGUGAGAUCUGGUCAGUGGUAGUUAGUGAUGCAUAUUUUUGUCUACAGUUAAUUGAUUUUGGUAGCGAUAAUAUAGAGGCAUGUAACUGUAGAGUUUUCCAGCUUUCUUUACUAUUCCGUGCAUAUUAUUAUUGUAGACUUAGUAGGUGGGCCGUUGAGGUCGGUGGCGGUACCCACUGAGGACUACUCUGUUUUGCAGUAGUUUUACACCCAGUUGUUGACACUUUUUGCAGA